rnacentral:rRNA from 1 species
UACAGAGGGGGCAAGCGUUGUUCGGAAUUACUGGGCGUAAAGGGCGCGUAGGCGGCCCUCUAAGUCAGACGUGAAAUCCCUCGGCUCAACCGGGGAACUGCGUCCGAGACUGGAAGGCUUGAAUUCGGGAGAGGGAUGUGGAAUUCCAGGUGUAGCGGUGAAAUGCGUAGAUAUCUGGAGGAAUACCGGUGGCGAAGGCGGCAUCCUGGACCGGCAUUGACGCUGAGGAGCGAAAGCCAGGGGAGCAAACGGG